GUGAACUCGAAGAGUAGGGCGGGACACGUGGUAUCCUGUCUGAAUAUGGGGGGACCAUCCUCCAAGGCUAAAUACUCCUGACUGACCGAUAGUGAACCAGUACCGUGAGGGAAAGGCGAAAAGAACCCCGGCGAGGGGAGUGAAAAAGAACCUGAAACCGUGUACGUACAAGCAGUGGGAGCACCUUCGGGUGUGACUGCGUACCUUUUGUAUAAUGGGUCAGCGACUUAUAUUCUGUAGCAAGGUUAACCGUAUAGGGGAGCCGCAGGGAAACCGAGUCUUAACUGGGCGUUAAGUUGCAGGGUAUAGACCCGAAACCCGGUGAUCUAGCCAUGGGCAGGUUGAAGGUUGGGUAACACUAACUGGAGGACCGAACCGACUAAUGUUGAAAAAUUAGCGGAUGACUUGUGGCUGGGGGUGAAAGGCCAAUCAAACCGGGAGAUAGCUGGUUCUCCCCGAAAGCUAUUUAGGUAGCGCCUCGUGAACUCAUCUUCGGGGGUAGAGCACUGUUUCGGCUAGGGGGUCAUCCCGACUUACCAACCCGAUGCAAACUACGAAUACCGAAGAAUGUUAUCACGGGAGACACACGGCGGGUGCUAACGUCCGUCGUGAAGAGGGAAACAACCCAGACCGCCAGCUAAGGUCCCAAAGUCAUGGUUAAGUGGGAAACGAUGUGGGAAGGCACAGACAGCCAGGAUGUUGGCUUAGAAGCAGCCAUCAUUUAAAGAAAGCGUAAUAGCUCACUGGUCGAGUCGGCCUGCGCGGAAGAUGUAACGGGGCUAAACCAUGCACCGAAGCUGCGGCAGCGACACUAUGUGUUGUUGGGUAGGGGAGCGUUCUGUAAGCCUGCGAAGGU
rnacentral:rRNA from 1 species